GAUGAACGCUGGCGGCGUGCCUAAUACAUGCAAGUCGAGCGAACAGACGAGGAGCUUGCUCCUCUGACGUUAGCGGCGGACGGGUGAGUAACACGUGGAUAACCUACCUAUAAGACUGGGAUAACUUCGGGAAACCGGAGCUAAUACCGGAUAAUAUAUUGAACCGCAUGGUUCAAUAGUGAAAGACGGUUUUGCUGUCACUUAUAGAUGGAUCCGCGCCGGAUUAGCUAGUUGGUAAGGUAACGGCUUACCAAGGCAACGAUGCGUAGCCGACCUGAGAGGGUGAUCGGCCACACUGGAACUGAGACACGGUCCAGACUCCUACGGGAGGCAGCAGUAGGGAAUCUUCCGCAAUGGGCGAAGGCCUGACGGAGCAACGCCGCGGGAGGGAUGAAGGUCUUCGGAUCGUAAAACUCUGUUAUUAGGGAAGAACAAAUGUGUAAGUAACUAUGCACGUAUUGACGGGACCUAAUCAGAGAGCCACGGCUAACUACGUG
rnacentral:rRNA from 1 species